CCUACGGGGUGCAGCAGUGAGGAAUAUUGGUCAAUGGGCGAGAGCCUGAACCAGCCAAGUCGCGUGAAGGAUGACGGCUCUACGAGUUGUAAACUGCUUUUGUACCGGGGUAAAAUGCUCUACGAGUAGGGUUUUGAAAGUACGGUACGAAUAAGGAUCGGCUAACUCCGUGCCAGCAGCCGCGGUAAUACGGAGGAUCCGAGCGUUAUCCGGAUUCAUUGGGUUUAAAGGGUGCGUAGGUUGUUUUAUAAGUUAGCGGUGAAAUACCGAUGCUCAACAUCGGGGCUGCCGCUGAUACUGUAGGACUAGAGAUCGGAUGCAGCAGGCGGAAUGUGUAGUGUAGCGGUGAAAUGCAUAGAUAUUACACAGAACACCGAUUGCGCAGGCAGCUUGCUAAUCCGCAUCUGACGCUGAUGCACGAAAGCGUGGGUAGCGAACAGGAUUAGAUACCCUUGUAGUC
rnacentral:rRNA from 1 species